AGCUUCUUUUCGAGGUGCAACGCGGUGUCGUGCUUGGGCGUCGCAGCGCGAGCCGCCCGGCCUCGAGCAAGACAGCUCGAUAUGCCGCGUGGCUGCUACGACGUCGUUUACCGUGCCGAGACUAGGUCGCUCGCGUGCCGCGGAAAAGGCGAUAGCUUGUUCGUGCGGGAGGAAUGCAGAACCUAACCAGAGACUUUGGUUAAAAAGCAGCACGAACCGUGCUCGAUGUCGACGGCGCCCGCACAGCUCAGGCAGAUAAUCGCUGUGCACAGCAACGUGCAGGCGCAACUGCAGGCCUGCGAAGUCGAGCAUUCGGGCGCUGACUCGGAGCGCAAAGCAGCACGCAAGAACGACAAGUACUGGUCAGGGAGUGCGCAGUGUGCACGCACGCAAAAUUCCCACAGCGCUCUAGUGAAGUGCGCUUGGAAUGCUCGCUGCGCACCUGUACCCUGCACAGCACCAGUGCCGUCGUGCGCCUGGUGCCGCGUUGCGCGCAAGUUUGCAGGUGCACGCAUAUGGGCAUGCACGCAUAGCCGAAUAUACACGUGUCCCAGUGCAUGCAUUGUCGACUGUACACGUGUCCCAGUGCAUGCAUUGUCGACUGUACACGUGUCCCAGUGCAUGCAUGCGUGCUUCACGGCACGACAGCUGUGUAUUCCUCUCUAGAUAUAUGCAGUACGCAUUUGCGCUCGCUGCAAGCGUAUCGCGGAGCACAGACGCACUGUACACGAGCAAUAUGCACGCAAACGCGGACCGUCUGCUCCGUCCUUGCACAUGGUUUUCGUAUGGAGCAGAGAGAGCGUCGUUGAUUUCGCGCUGAGGUCGCCCGGAGCCCAGUAGCAGACAUAUCCGCUUUGAGAGCCGUCACCGGGAGCAUACCAUUGCAGCCGCAUGCUUCUCUUGGCAGUAUGGGAUCGGUGUCCGAUUCGAAUGCUGCUGGUAUGGGGGCAUAAGGUUCAGGGCUUUACGCCGAGCAGGAUCUCGGAAUGACCUAAACACCGCGCGCGCUAGCAAUAACACCUACAGCAUGGCUAGCGCACUGGUUCGAAGCGCCUGCGGAUGCAGCGGCGAGCAUUGCAUAUCGACAACAUCCAAUAGGGUCUUGAUAGGCUCGGGCACGCCCCGCAUGCAACUUUCGACACAUUUUCGAGGCCGUUCACGGAACGUAUGCAGCGUGGCGGCGGCAUGCCCUCAGCGUCGUAGAACGAACGCGAGGCAACAGAGGCAGCAGGCGCAACCACAGGCACGAUCGCUGCCGACAAAGCCGAUACCGCUGGAAUCCCGUCGCUGUGCCGUUGCAACGCUUCGAUGCGGCGCGCUUCCGCCCGAUCACGUCGUUUUCUGGUGACUCGCACGCGCCACUGAGAAAGCGGUCAUGUGUCUUGGGUGCAGGCAUCGGGCAGGCAGCGGCAGAUGGGCGCGAAACUCCGCGGCAUGCGCUCUACGUGUUGUGGCGUCACCAGGUGGCAUUCUGGUGCUGGCGAAGGCGUCGGUAUAUGACGUACCGUCGAUUGCUCUCUGGCGUCGCGUUCGCUACACGGCUCGGAAGAGCGUCGACUGCAAGCGCAGUCGCUGUCGUUCCCGAUAUCACUGACCCGAUGGCUCUGGGCUGCUGACAGAAACCGCAGCGCUGCCGGAGCACUGCUCCAGCACGUUGGCCCAGGUCCAGCAAUCUCGCUCGGACACGGAGCGCUUAUCGGCGUUCUCGGUAGCUGCAAAUCACCUGCGCCAUCACGAUACUGAGAACGAGCGAGAAACUCCUUGCGCUCGUGGCAUACCCAAGUCCCAGAGGCUUAAAACGCCCGCGCAGGUGCAAAUCGCAAGCGCCCGUUGCUUUCUCCUCGGAUUCCCGUUCGACGCCCGACAUUCCGCUGCACGCCUCUAGCUAAACUGCUCAACAAGCAGC
rnacentral:misc_RNA from 1 species